AUUGAACGCUGGCGGCAGGCCUAACACAUGCAAGUCGAGCGGAUGAAGGGAGCUUGCUCCUGGAUUCAGCGGCGGACGGGUGAGUAAUGCCUAGGAAUCUGCCUGGUAGUGGGGGAUAACGUCCGGGAACGGGCGCUAAUACCGCAUACGUCCUGAGGGAGAAAGUGGGGGAUCUUCGGACCUCACGCUAUCAGAUGAGCCUAGGUCGGAUUAGCUAGUUGGUGGGGUAAAGGCCUACCAAGGCGACGAUCCGUAACUGGUCUGAGAGGAUGAUCAGUCACACUGGAACUGAGACACGGUCCAGACUCCUACGGGAGGCAGCAGUGGGGAAUAUUGGACAAUGGGCGAAAGCCUGAUCCAGCCAUGCCGCGUGUGUGGAGAAGGUCUUCGGAUUGUAAAGCACUUUAAGUUGGGAGGAAGGGCAGUAAGUUAAUACCUUGCUGUUUUGACGUUACCAACAGAAUAAGCACCG
rnacentral:rRNA from 1 species